CUCUGUGAUCAGACUUUUUUGCGAGAGAAAAAAAAAUAACAAAUCGAUGACUUCUAUUGUGCACUUCCCUAGGAACUCAUGGUGUCACUGCAAACCCUGUCGCCCACAUCUGGGCCUUGUUUUUUUAGUUCCUCACAAAUUUUAUAAAAUUUUUCAGAUUUCUUGUCAUAUUCAAUCUUACAGUACAUGCACAGAACAUUAAAUAUAGAUCAAAUAACUAAUUAUAUAGUUUAUAUAUAAUUUAUGAGGCAAAUAUUUUAAGUCUAUAUGAUUGUACAAUAUUUAUUAAAUACAAACAAAAGUGCUAUAAUUUCUAUUUUGAAAAAAAAAGUUACAACUAAACAAGGCCCUCGACGUGUAAUGUGUGACUGCUGUUGCUCUUAGUACAAAUUUUGUUAUUUUUAAGGGUCUGGCAUCAACUUUAGGGUCAUUCGUUGCUUUGCUCAUAGGGGGGCAUGCAGAGGCAUACAUGUUACAUGUACUGUACAUAGAACCCGUUUCACCAUUUUCAUAGACUAAACCCUCCUUCAGGCUUUCUAUUACCAAAUAAUUAAUCUGGCUACAGCACUUGGUACUGAACACGAAACAUUGCUCAAAACAUUUUGUUUUGACCAACUAGAUUUAUAAUAUAAAGGAGUAAAUUUCAUUGGACUGUACUUAUGACCGUCAAAAUUAUAGCAAAAACACAUUCUACAAUGUUGUACGUAGAACUACAUCUGUUCGCUUAUCUGAUAAGCCAUGGCUGAAAGUACUGUUCGCUAAAAACACUGCUGAAUAGUUGGCAGAUUUGGUAGAUACUUUUGUUACAAAGCUACACACUUUUUAUUAAGAGCUAUAUAUUAGGUUUCUACUUGAUUUUUUUAUAAUAAACUAAGGUCCAAUUUAGAAGCACUCCCAAUCGCUCUUGCACGCGCAUAGCUCCAACUCUGCUUACUCCCUGGUUCGUGAUUCUUUUUUUUCACGAACGGGGUUGAGCCCGUAUUUCAUUAAGACGAAAGGAGUAUACUUUUACAAUCGAUUGUUAGACCCACUACUAGGUUGUUUGCGAGUAGCAAGCGAAACAUUAGCGAGGCUAACAACCCAAAAAAAAACCAGAACUACUAUACAGUGGUUGAUUGUGCGACCAAGCCAACACCAACACCACCAACGGACGUCCAAAAGGAGGCCAGUGCAGAAAAACCCACGUCGAUCCACCGCGCACCU
rnacentral:lncRNA from 1 species